AAACCAAAAAACAAAAACACCUUCCCAGCUCUCCCCUAUAUAUAUAUUCCCUCUUCGGCAGAGCGGGAAAAAGGAGCGCGCCGAAGUGUCAAGCAGCGGAAAAGCCACAAACGUCGCCGUUCCAUCGCCUGCGUUCUAGGGUUUUAGCUUCUCCGUUUCACACAUGGCGAACGUGGUGGAUCAAGAUCAGCAAUGGCUGCUCAAUUGCUUGUCUGCCACACUCGACCCUAACCCGGAGGUUCGCUGUUUCGCCGAAGCUUCCCUCGAUCAGGCUUCUCGCCAACCAGGUUUUGGCAGUGCAUUAUCUAAAGUUGCUGCAAACAAGGAGCAUGCGGCGGGAAUGCGUCAGUUAGCUGCAGUCCUUCUUAAGCAGGUAGUUAAAAAGCAUUGGCAAGAGGAUGAGGAAUUUUUUGAACCUCCUGUUGUCUCUAACGAUGAAAAGGAAAUCAUCCGCAGAAUGCUUCUAUUGACAUUGGAUGAUCCUCAUAGGAAAAUUUGCACAGCUAUUGGUAUGGCUGUGGCUUCCAUUGCUGUGCAUGACUGGCCAGAGUUGUGGCCAGAUUUGUUGCCAUUUCUCCUGAAUUUGAUUAACAAUCAAACCAACUUCAAUGGAGUGCAUGGAGCUAUGAGAUGCUUGGUUCUUCUCUCUGCGGACUUGGAUGAUAAAAUGGUUCCAACAUUAAUACCUGCUUUGUUCCCGAGUUUGCUGACAAUUGUAUCCUCUCCCCAGAUAUAUGACCCAUACAUUCGAACGAAGGCUCUUUCAGUAAUCUACUCUUGCACUUCUAUGCUGGGGACAAUGAGUGGUGUCUACAAGGCAGAAACGGGUUCUCUGAUAGUUCCUUUUCUUAAACCAUGGAUGGACCAGUUUUCUUCCAUUCUAAAAGUUCCAGUUCAAUCUGAAAAUCCAGAUGAUUGGAGCAUCAGAAUGGAGGUUUUGAAGUGCUUGAAUCAGUUUAUUCAGAAUUUUUCAAGUCUCAUCAAUAAAAGUGAAUUUGAGGUAAUAUUGGGACCUUUAUGGAAUACCUUUGUCUCUUCUUUGAGAGUUUACGAGCAAGCAUCUAUUGACGGAACAGAAGAUUCAUUUGAGGGAAGAUAUGAUUCUGAUGGUUCAGAGAAAAGCCUUGAUUCAUUUGUUAUCCAGCUAUUUGAACUCAUGUUGACCAUUGUGGGGAAUCCAAGACUUGGAAAGGUGGUUAUGGCUAAUGUCAGAGAAUUGGUGUACUAUACCAUUGCUUUCCUUCAAAUGACAGAACAACAGGUUCAUACGUGGUCUGUGGAUGCUAACCAGUUCAUUGCUGAUGAAGAAGAUGCCACUUACAGCUGCCGCAUCUCUGGUGUGCUUUUACUGGAAGAGGUAAUAAGUUCUUUUGACGGUGAAGGAAUUUUGGCCAUCAUAGAUGCUGCAAAACAAUGGUUCAGUGAGUCUCAAAUCAGAAAAACAGCUGGAAAUGCAAGCUGGUGGAGGAUAAGAGAAGCUACACUUUUUGCUUUAUCAUCUCUUUCGGAACAACUAUUUGAGACAGAGGAGUCUGGGUUUGAGACAAGUAGCUUGAAGCACCUGAUAGAGCAGAUUUUCACUGAGGACUCUCUAAUAGGUCCUCUUGAAUAUCCCUUUCUAUAUGCCCGCCUUUUCACUUCAGUUGCUAAAUUCUCCUCUAUGAUAAGCAGCGGUUUACUAGAACAUUUUCUAUAUUCAGCAAUGAAGGCAAUUACAAUGGAUGUGCCCCCACCUGUAAAAGUAGGUGCCUGCCGAGCACUUUCUAACCUUCUUCCUGAAGCAAAAAAUGAAAUUGUCCAAUCACAGUUGUUGGGUUUAUUGUCAUCUCUCACAGAUCUUCUUAAUCAUGCAUCAGAUGAAACCUUGCACAUGGUACUUGAUACAUUGCUUGCUGCAGUAAAAGCAGGCCAUGAAUCGUCGACAUUAGUAGAACACAUGGUUUCUCCUAUAAUGCUUAAUGUGUGGGCAUCACAUGUUUCGGAUCCUUUUAUCAGUAUUGAUGUACUUGAAGUUCUCGAGGCUAUUAAAAGCAUUCCCGGAUGUGUACAUCCAUUGGUUUCCAGAAUUUUGCCGUAUAUUGGACCAAUUUUAAAUCAACCCCAAGAGCAGGCAGAUGGUUUGGUAGCUGGAUCACUAGAUUUGGUAACAAUGUUACUGAAGAAUGCCCCUUCUGAUGUAGUGAAAGCAAUAUAUGAUGUCUCUUUUAAUGCUGUUAUCAAUAUAAUCCUUCAAAGUGAUGACCACAGUGAAAUUCAGAAUGCUACAGAAUGUUUAUCUACUUUUAUAUCUGGGGGAAGACAAGAAAUUCUUGUGUGGGGAUCUGAUUCUGGAUCAACUAUGAGAAGUCUACUUGAUAUAGCUUCAAGACUACUAGACCCCAAUUUGGAAAGCUCUGGGUCUCUCUUUGUUGGGAGUUACAUUCUUCAACUUAUUUUGCAUUUACCAUCACAGAUGGCAGUACAUAUACGAGACUUGGUUGUUGCUCUUGUCAGACGUAUGCAAUCUGCUCAAAUUGAUGCCUUGAAAAGCUCAUUGCUGGUUGUUUUUGCCAGACUGGUACACAUGAGUGUUAAUGCUGGACACUUUAUUGAUUUGCUGAUCUCAAUUCCUGUGGAAGGAUAUGAUAAUUCCUUUGCUUAUGUGAUGUCAGAAUGGACUAGGCAGCAAGGGGAGAUACAGGGGGCCUAUCAAAUCAAAGUCACUACAAGUGCCCUGGCCUUGUUGCUAACCAGUAGGCAUAAUCAACUGGCAAAAACACAUGUCCAGGGCCAUCUGAUUAAGUCUGGCAUGGGAAUAACCACAAGAUCAAAAGCUAAAUCAGCUCCGGAUCAAUGGGUAAUGUUGCCACUUCCUACAAAGAUAGUAGCUUUAUUGGCAGAUGCAUUAUCUGAAAUACGAGAACAAGUUUCGGCCGCUGAUGAUGAGGAUAGUGACUGGGAAGAAGUUCAAGCAGAUGGUGUUGAAAAUGAUAAAGAAUUUUUUUAUUCAAUGUCUACAUCUUCGGGAAAAGCCACGUAUGAACAUCUUGAAGCAAUGGCAAAAGUAUUUAACGAGGAUCAAGUUGAUCAGUAUGAAGAUGACCUUUUAAGUGUUGCCGAUCCUCUCAAUCAGAUAAAUCUGGCAAAUUACCUGGUUGAUUUCUUUGUUAGCUUUUCUCAGUCAGACAGAGAGCUCUUGGAUCACAUUUGCGAGAACUUGACUCAUUCUCAACGAAAUGUCAUUCAAAUGGUACUGAAGAGAUGAGAAUUUAGUGUGAAAUCAGCGAGUGCCGUCUCAAGGAUGGGUUGAUAAUUACCAGAGUGAAACAAAGAUGGUUGGAAAUCAAUAUUUUCCCAUGUUCAGGUUGGGGAAAUCUGUCUGCAGUUUUGAAAGAUUCGAUCACCAAUAAAGGUUGCAGAAGCAAAGAUCAGAGAGCGAGAAGUUGACACGUGGCCGCCAACGAAAUUGAUGAUGUAAUUCUGAAAGCAAACUUAAACAAAGCCGAUCAAAUAGCCCUAAAUGUCAUUUCUCAAGUUUAAGUGUUAUCAUAGUGGAUCUUUCCAUUGAGGAUCAUAAGUAAUAGUGAUAUUGAUAUUAUGUUGUAAGUUUAA